GCGAGCUGUGCGGUAUGAUGGCAAUCCGUGCAGCGCUUGAUGCGCGCGGAGAAACCGGCCGCCGCCGCGUUCUGGUUCCGGAAUCCGCGC
rnacentral:tRNA from 1 species